CUUCGGGAAGGAAUAAAGGAAGGAACUCUCUAAAAUUCUAAAGUGGCAUUCUGUAAAAAGCAAUGCUAAGGCAACUGCUGUGAUCCUACUGAGGGAUGGUCUCAGAUAUCACAGUGGAUCACAGAGAGAAUAGAGCACUGUUAAAACCAAGAAACAAGAUCAUCUCAGUGAUGACAGAGGGAAUUAAGGUGCUGGAAACAGUAAGGAUUUAUUUUUUUUUUCUUUCUUUGUUAGAAAUCAUUGAUUCAGAGUUUCAGUCCUUAAGGGACAUCUAUUGAUCGCAAAAAGACUGAGAAAUAUUCUGUGAGGACAAGGUGUUUCCCAUCUGUUCUGAACAAUCCUAAUCUGUGCCACCUGAGUCUCAGGCCUGGCGCUAUUUAAAUGCAGCUGAGAGGCUUUUUCUGAUUCUUUCUCCUGGGUGCACUGUGGGCUUGUGUUGCAGUUGUUUUUUCUGUUGAUCCUCUUAAAACUUUCUGGGUUAUCCUACUGUCUAGUCCUCACCAUGCAGGAGGUUAUUAAUUGAAUCUCUGGGAUUCCUGGUUGUGCAGAAUGGUGCCCAUCCAUGAGAGGAUAGCUGCUGAAGAUGCUCCUCUCUUUUCAGAUGCUGCUCCCCAGCAACUGUGUGGGGAUGUGUCAUGACUGUGGAGAUGAAAUCCACAGCUUGUCCCAGGCAGUGGUGGAGCAGGUUUAUAUUAACAAACUGAAGAAAUAUGUCUGGCAAGUCACGGAGGCAGCAGAGAUGUGAUGGGUUUGGCUUCUGCAAAAGAUUGCUCUGAGCUUUCUCACUGGUUCCUGAGGAAGCUCCAUCUCCUGUGAGAAUUUUCUGGGCUCACAGGACCUGUCUACAUGAACCAUGGAAAGGAAGAGGGAAAAGUGACAUAAACAAAAAUGACAAUUGAACCAAACAGUCCCUCCUUUACCCCAAAACAGCAUGUGUCCAGAAGAAACUUCACGCACCUCAUUGUUUGCCUGCAAAGCCUAUGUUGCAGUGUUGUCAAACCAUCAUGGAAACCUGGAUUUUUGCACAUUGUGUGAAGAGUGUAGCAGCGAAUCAGUGCCUCCUCAGACACCUCCUGUUUUCACUUCUCCUAGGCUUCAAAGAACUUGGUUUUCUUCUUCAUACAGCAUGAAAGCAACAAGAUCUUUUCCUAAUUUCUCAGCUGUUAAAAGUACACUUGUUACCAUUGCCACAGUGGCCUAAAUUUUCUUUCCCUGUGCCACAGAAGGAAUCGCUAACUCCCCAGUUCAAUUUUUUUGUCCUCCAUUCCUCAGAUAAUGCAAUUUCUAGAAAGCAAGCCUCCUCCUCUCCCCUCUCUGUGCAGCACCUAGUCUUUUUCAUUGCAUUUCCUUAUUGCUACCCAUAUCUGCCAGCACCAGCAAGGGCUCUUUGUGCCUUCACCCUCCCGAGGGCAGGUUCUCAUCCAGAUCUCGCUGCCACGGAGGCCCCGCAGCCACACUGUCCUCAGACAGCCCUCGGGAUCCUCUGCUCCUCGCUCAGAGGCAGAAGGCAGCAGAUGGGUUCUCAGAUGGUGAUGAGGACAGCGAGGCACAGGAUGUGCACGAGUGUCCCUUGUAGACAGCAAGCAGGAACAGACUGUGAAAGGAGGGUCAGGCAGUUUUCAGUCCUGCUUUGAGGAGGACAGAAAUGGCAGCUGGUGAAGAAGUCUGAAAUUUCAAAGUCUGAUCUCUGAGCAAAAUGUGAAACUUAGAAGUUGAAAGUUUUACUUGAAAGCAGUUUUCUAUAUCUAGCAUUUGAACUGUCAAAAACAUGGACACAACACACUUUCACAUUUUUUUUUUGGAAAUCCUUCUGAAAACAUGCAGCAGGAUAUACAGAAAAUAUUAGACAACUUUUGUAAGAUUUUUGCCGUUCUGGCAAA